rnacentral:rRNA from 1 species
GGGUCAGUAGGUUGGUCGUGCCACCGGUACGUACUGGUCUCACUGAUUCCUCCUUCCUGAAGAACCGUAAUGUCAUUAAUUUGGUGUUGCGGGGAAACAGGACUGUUACUUUGAAAAAAUUAGAGUGUUUAAAGCAAGCUAACGCUUGAAUACAGUAGCAUGGAAUAAUGAAAUAGGACGAUCGAUCCUAUUUUGUUGGUUUCUAGGAUUGACGUA